rnacentral:rRNA from 1 species
GAUGAACGCUAGCGGCAGGCUUAACACAUGCAAGUCGAGGGGUAUAGUUCUUCGGAGCUAGAGACCGGCGCACGGGUGCGUAACGCGUAUGCAAUCUACCUUUUGCAGAGGGAUAGCCCAGAGAAAUUUGGAUUAAUACCUCCUGGUAUGUGAGAAUGGCAUCAUUUUCACAUUAAAGUCACAACGGCAAAAGAUGAGCAUGCGUCCCAUUAGCUAGUUGGUAAGGUAACGGCUUACCAAGCCCACGAUGGGUCGGCGUCCUGAGAGGGAGAUCCCCCACACUGGUACUGAGACACGGACCAGACUCCUACGGGAGGCAGCAGUGAGGAAUAUUGGACAAUGGGCGCAAGCCUGAUCCAGCCAUGCCGCGUGCAGGAUGACGGUCCUAUGGAUUGUAAACUGCUUUUGUACAGGAAGAAACACUGGUUCGUGAACCAGCUUGACGGUACUGUAAGAAUAAGGAUCGGCUAACUCCGUGCCAGCAGCCGCCGUAAAAC